rnacentral:rRNA from 1 species
CCAGCAGCUGCGGUAAUUCCAGCUCCAAUAGCGUAUAUUAAAGUUGUUGCAGUUAAAAAGCUCGUAGUUGGAUUUCUGGCAGGAGCGACCGGUCUCACACUCUGUGUGAGAACUCGUGUUGUCUCUGGCCAUCCUUGGGGAGAUCCUGUUUGGCAUUAAGUUGUCGGGCAGGGGAUACCCAUCGUUUACUGUGAAAAAAUUAGUGUGUUCAAGGCAGGCGUGUGCUUGGAUAUCGCAGCAUGGAAUAACGGAGUAGGAUUCGCUUCUUAUUUUGUUGGUUUGGGGGAGUGAGUAAUGAUUAGUAGGGGCAGUUGGGAGCAUUGGUAUUUGGUAGUCAGAGGUGAAAUUCUUGGAUUUACCAAAGACUAACUGGUGCGAAAGCGUUUGCCAAGGAUGUUUUCAUUGAUCAAGAACGAAAGU